CCCUGAUGUCCGGUCCAGUUACGUCUCACACAGGUCCGGUUACGUUGAAAGUCGGGAUGUGUCAUCAGGAAACCAUUAGAUUUUUAGUCAAUUUCGUCUCUGAGGGAUCCGAUCAUUUUAGGGUUCCCCUGGUUAAGGGAACAUGAUCCUAGGAUAGGGUGGAAAACCAGAGAAAUCCUAACGUGGUCCCCGAACCUUUUCAAUUCCUGCCUGUCUCUCCCAUGUCGAGUAUCCUCCUUAGAAAGGCCACUUCCGGAGGACCUCACAGUGAUCCCUGAAGAAUAUCACCGCUUUCAAAAGGUCUUCAGUAAAGCGGAAGUCUAUGGCCUUCCACCACACCGACCAUCUGACUGUGCUAUCGAGCUCCUGGAAGGAGCCACUCUACCCCGAAGCCGGCUCUAUGCCCUGUCCCGAUCAGAAGAGGAGGCAAUGCGGACCUCCAUCUCUGAGGCACUGGAGCAAGCAUUGGAGCAGCUUCGACAAGCCAAAAUCUUUUCCAAACUCGAUUUGCGAAGCACCUACAAUCUCAUUCGAAUCGGAGAGGGAGAUGAAUGGAAGACAUCUUUCCUAACUACUGGUCAGUAUGAAUAUCUCGUUAUGCCAUAUGGUUUGGCUAACAGUCCGUCUAUCUUCCAGGCUUUCAUCAACAGCAUCUUCCAUGACAUGCUGAAUAGGUUUGUCAUCACCUACAUAGACAACAUCCUAAUUUACUCUGACAGUUCCACUCAACACGUGGAACACAUUCAGCAAGUUCUUCAAUGAUUAGCCGAUCACCACCUUUACAUCAAGGGAGAGAAGUGUGAGUUUCAUCGUACGUCUAUUCAAUUUUUGGGUUACCACAUCCGGCCAGGAGAGGUGGCUAUGGACCCAGGUAAGAUCAGGGCUGUCCUUGAGUGUCCUCGACCUAGUACUGUAAAAGAGAUUCAGAGAUUCCUUUUGUUCACCCAUUUCUAUCGUCGCUUCAUUCGGGGUUUUAGUGCAGUAGCAGGGCCUCUAACUAACCUUCUUAGAGGAGGAAUAAAGAAACUUAUCUGGUCCGAGGCAGUGUCGCAUGCCUUCACCGAAUUAAAAGGGAGAUUCUGCACAGCUCCAGUAUUAUGACAGCACGAUCCAGAAGAGCCCUUCAUUAUCGAAGUGGACACCUCCGAAGUCGGAAUCGGAGCUGUGCUUUCACAGAAAGAUGCUAAGUCAGGUAAAAUUCACCCCUGUGCAUUUCUGUCCAAGAAACAUUCCCCUGCCGAGUGUAAUUAUGAUGUUGGAAAUCGUGAAUUGUUAGCCAUAAAAGAUGCCUUAGAGGAGUGGAGACAUUGGCUAGAGGGAGCUAAACACCCAUUCCAGGUGCUCACGAACCAUCGUAACCUACAAUAUCUGCAAUCCACUAAGCAUCUUAAUCCCCGUCAAGCCAGAUGGGCUCUGUUUUUUACCCGGUUUAAUUUUCAGGUGUCCUUUAUCCCUGGAACAAAGAACGUGAAGGCGGAUGCGCUCUCCCAUUGCUUUCCUCAUCAAAGGGUAUCCGAAGAUCCGACUCCAAUCCUGUUUCCCACCUGCUUCGUCGGCCCUAUUCAGUGGGAAAUGGAGCGUCAACUCCAACAGCACAACAUGGGACAUGCCCCACCAUCUGACUGCCCACCGGGACACACGUUACCAUCUCGCUAGAGCUCGGUGAGCUGCUCUUCCAAGUGGGUAUUCCGCUACAACAGCUUGCCCGAGGACAUGUCAGAAUGAGGACCCCAGUUCACCUCACAAGCAUUCCGGGCUCUGUGUACCUAAAUGAACAUCAGGUCUGCUGCCUCAGGUUUUAUGAAGAAGCCACUUCUGUCCAAGAACAACAUCAGGAACAGACUGAUAUUCUGCAAAAGGUACAGGGAUUGGACCACUGAGGACUGGGGUAAAGUAAUUUUCUUUGAUGAAUCCCCUUUCCAAUUGUUUGGGGCAUCCAGAAAAAAUAUUGUCCUGAGUAGAAAAGGUGAGCGCUACCAUCAGUCCUGUGUAAUGCCAACAGUAAAGCAUCCUGAGACCAUUCAUGUGUGGAGUUGUUUCUCAGCCAAGGGAAUGGGCUCACUCACAAUUUUGCCUAAGAACACAGCCAUGAAUAAAGAAUGGUAUCAAAACAUUCUCUGAGACCAACUUCUCCCAACCAUCCAAGAGCAGUUUGGUGACUAACAAUACAUUUUCCAGCAUGAUGGAGCACCGUGCCAUAAAGCAAAAGUGAUAACUAAGUGGCCAGAGGAACAAAACAAACUCCUAGCAUUGGUUAUGCAAGAAUAUUCUGCCAUCAGUCAUUUGGCCCAGAAGUUGAUUGACAGCAUGCCAGGGUGAAUUGAAAAAGUCUUGAAAAAGAAGGGCCACCACUGCAAAUAUUGACUCUUUGCAUAAACUUAAUUGUCAAUAAAAACCUUUGACACUUGAAAUGCUUGUAAUUAUACUUCAGUAAACCAAAACAAAAAAGAUAUACAAACAGUGAAAAAGCAAAUUUUGUGAAAUCCAAUACUUGUGUAAUUCUCAAUACUUUUGGCCAUGACUAUAGACUCUUGAAAGUGGCAGACUGAAAAGCACCAAACUCUUACAAUUUUUUAAAGGAUUUAGAGCUAUUUGAUGUGUGGAGGACCUUAAACCCUAGAGGUAAAGAUAAAACUUUUUCCCAGCCCCGUAAAUCAUUUUUCAAGUUUCUAGAGAAAUUGCCGAUUGGUUACUAAGUACAUAAUUGGUUUAUAAUCCUUUUCUAGUCAGUCUCACUUCCUCCCUGUCCUACAUUCAAGAAAGGCAAUUUGGUUACUCCAAUUAGAGUCAGUAUGUUUUUAGACUGGGAGGGGGGAAACCUGAAGAAAACCUCAUGAUGACAUAGGGAGAACAUGCAAACUCAACAUAAAUGGAAUCCUUGUAGGGAUUUGAACCCAAGUCCUAGAGGUGAGUAUGCUAACUACUGCACCACUCUUGUUAUUUCAUCCAGAAGAGCAUUUGUGAGGUCAGGCACUGAUUGUGGAUGUGAAACUCACCCAACCAGGUCUUUAUGGACCUUGCUUUGUACACUGGGGCACAGUCAUGCUGGAAGAGAAAAGGACCUUCUCCAAACUGUUCCCACAAAGAUGGACGCAUAGGAUUGUCGAAAAUGUCUUAAUAUGCAAAAAAAAUUCUUGAUAUUUCUUGAUUGUACACAAUUUGCCACCUCUUCCCUGUUCCUGUUCAUGGGCAAUGCUAUGGGAACUGUAAGCAAAAAUGGAGCACUGAAGUAAAGAAAUAAUUACAUGAAUUAUAUUGCAAUAAUCAUGAAAGAACAGCAUCAUGAUAAAAUAUUUUGCCCUAUUGUCCAGCAUUAACCCUAACAACCCCACUUCCAAAAAUCCAAACUAUCCCUGAUUUAGAACCCGACUGACUGGCUUCAAAAAUCUUCCCAAGGCAGUAAAAUGUUUUUUCAGUGUUAGCAUCCAUUAAUAUCAGGUUUCAUAUAGAUAUUAUGGAUAUUGUUAAAAUCCCUGCUGUCUUUUGUGAAUGUCUAUUUAUUUGUUAUCGUUCUGUUUCACAGAUGCUGUUGUACAUCACCAUCCAGGUUCCAAAAAAAUCAGACGUAAAAUCAAUCAGCACAAGAACUUGUGAGUUGAGGCAUCACGUGAAGCAAAACAGCAGCAUGGACAAAGUUAAAUCGAAUAAGACUGUUCUUCAUUGUCCUCACGGGUUCUACGGCUUGUUUUAUCCAGUGAAGAAACAAGGGUAACGGACUGUUCUUUUGGGGCCUUUUUUCCUUUUCUUUUCGUGUUUUGGACCUCUAGCUCAUGUUUAAAGUUUGACAACUGAAGGCCAAAUCAGUAAUAAGUUUGACAACAUGGUUUUGAG